rnacentral:rRNA from 1 species
AACGAACGCUGGCGGCGUGGAUUAGGCAUGCAAGUCGAACGAGAAUCUGGAGGUUCAAGUUUUCGGACAAGAACUUUCGGAGGAAAGUGGCGGAAGGGUGAGUACAACAUGGAUAAUCUACCUUCAAGUUGGGUAUAGCUUCCCGAAAGGGGAGAUAAUCCCGAAUGUGGUGAUCCGGCGCCUGUUGGAGAAUCCAAAGGUGGGGACCGCAAGGCCUGCCGCUUGAAGAUGAGUCCGUGCACUAUCAGCUAGUUGGUGAGGUAAUGGCUCACCAAGGCGAUGACGGUUAGCUGGUCUGAGAGGAUGGUCAGCCACACUGGGACUGAGAUACUGCCCAGACUCCUACGGGAGGCUGCAGUCGAGAAUCAUUCGCAAUGGGCGCAAGCCUGACGGUGCGACGUCGCGUGGAGGAUGAAGGUCUUCGGAUUGUAAACUCCUGUCAUGUGGGAUAAAUGGCCAGGGCAUGAAUAGUG